rnacentral:rRNA from 1 species
GGGUUGUGAGGUUAAGCGACUAAGCGUACACGGUGGAUGCCCUGGCAGUCAGAGGCGAUGAAGGGCGUGCUAAUCUGCGAUAAGCGCCGGUAAGGUGAUAUGAACCGUUAUAACCGGCGAUACCCGAAUGGGGAAACCCAGUGUGAUUCGUCACACUAUCAUUAACUGAAUCCAUAGGUUAAUGAGGCGAACCGGGGGAACUGAAACAUCUAAGUACCCCGAGGAAAAGAAAUCAACCGAGAUUCCCCCAGUAGCGGCGAGCGAACGGGGAGGAGCCCAGAGCCUGAAUCAGCAUGUGUGUUAGUGGAAGCGUCUGGAAAGGCGCGCGAUACAGGGUGACAGCCCCGUACACAAAAGCGCAUGUGCUGUGAGCUCGAUGAGUAGGGCGGGACACGUGGUAUCCUGUCUGAAUAUGGGGGGACCAUCCUCCAAGGCUAAAUACUCCUGACUGACCGAUAGUGAACCAGUACCGUGAGGGAAAGGCGAAAAGAACCCCGGCGAGGGGAGUGAAAAAGAACCUGAAACCGUGUACGUACAAGCAGUGGGAGCNNGUGACUGCGUACCUUUUGUAUAAUGGGUCAGCGACUUAUAUUCUGUAGCAAGGUUAACCGAAUAGGGGAGCCGGAGGGAAACCGAGUCUUAACCGGGCGUUAAGUUGCAGGGUAUAGACCCGAAACCCGGUGAUCUAGCCAUGGGCAGGUUGAAGGUUGGGUAACACUAACUGGAGGACCGAACCGACUAAUGUUGAAAAAUUAGCGGAUGACCUGUGGCUGGGGGUGAAAGGCCAAUCAAACCGGGAGAUAGCUGGUUCUCCCCGAAAGCUAUUUAGGUAGCGCCUCGUGAAUUCAUCUCCGGGGGUAGAGCACUGUUUCGGCUAGGGGGCCAUCCCGGCUUACCAACCCGAUGCAAACUGCGAAUACCGGAGAAUGUUAUCACGGGAGACACACGGCGGGUGCUAACGUCCGUCGUGAAGAGGGAAACAACCCAGACCGCCAGCUAAGGUCCCAAAGUCAUGGUUAAGUGGGAAACGAUGUGGGAAGGCCCAGACAGCCAGGAUGUUGGCUUAGAAGCAGCCAUCAUUUAAAGAAAGCGUAAUAGCUCACUGGUCGAGUCGGCCUGCGCGGAAGAUGUAACGGGGCUAAACCAUGCACCGAAGCUGCGGCAGCGANNGUUGGGUAGGGGAGCGUUCUGUAAGCCUGUGAAGGUGUGUCGUGAGGCAUGCUGGAGGUAUCAGAAGUGCGAAUGCUGACAUAAGUAACGAUAAAGCGGGUGAAAAGCCCGCUCGCCGGAAGACCAAGGGUUCCUGUCCAACGUUAAUCGGGGCAGGGUGAGUCGACCCCUAAGGCGAGGCCGAAAGGCGUAGUCGAUGGGAAACGGGUUAAUAUUCCCGUACUUGGUGUUACUGCGAAGGGGGGACGGAGAAGGCUAUGUUGGCCGGGCGACGGUUGUCCCGGUUUAAGCGUGUAGGUGUGUGUUCCAGGUAAAUCCGGUUCACUUUAACACUGAGGCGUGAUGACGAGGCACUACGGUGCUGAAGUAACAAAUGCCCUGCUUCCAGGAAAAGCCUCUAAGCAUCAGGUAACAUCAAAUCGUACCCCAAACCGACACAGGUGGUCAGGUAGAGAAUACCAAGGCGCUUGAGAGAACUCGGGUGAAGGAACUAGGCAAAAUGGUGCCGUAACUUCGGGAGAAGGCACGCUGACACGUAGGUGAAGUGAUUUACUCAUGGAGCUGAAGUCAGUCGAAGAUACCAGCUGGCUGCAACUGUUUAUUAAAAACACAGCACUGUGCAAACACGAAAGUGGACGUAUACGGUGUGACGCCUGCCCGGUGCCGGAAGGUUAAUUGAUGGGGUCAGCGCAAGCGAAGCUCCUGAUCGAAGCCCCGGUAAACGGCGGCCGUAACUAUAACGGUCCUAAGGUAGCGAAAUUCCUUGUCGGGUAAGUUCCGACCUGCACGAAUGGCGUAAUGAUGGCCAGGCUGUCUCCACCCGAGACUCAGUGAAAUUGAACUCGCUGUGAAGAUGCAGUGUACCCGCGGCAAGACGGAAAGACCCCGUGAACCUUUACUAUAGCUUGACACUGAACAUUGAGCCUUGAUGUGUAGGAUAGGUGGGAGGCUUUGAAGUGUGGACGCCAGUCUGCAUGGAGCCGACCUUGAAAUACCACCCUUUAAUGUUUGAUGUUCUAACGUGGACCCGUUACCCGGGUUGCGGACAGUGUCUGGUGGGUAGUUUGACUGGGGCGGUCUCCUCCUAAAGAGUAACGGAGGAGCACGAAGGUUGGCUAAUCCUGGUCGGACAUCAGGAGGUUAGUGCAAUGGCAUAAGCCAGCUUGACUGCGAGCGUGACGGCGCGAGCAGGUGCGAAAGCAGGUCAUAGUGAUCCGGUGGUUCUGAAUGGAAGGGCCAUCGCUCAACGGAUAAAAGGUACUCCGGGGAUAACAGGCUGAUACCGCCCAAGAGUUCAUAUCGACGGCGGUGUUUGGCACCUCGAUGUCGGCUCAUCACAUCCUGGGGCUGAAGUAGGUCCCAAGGGUAUGGCUGUUCGCCAUUUAAAGUGGUACGCGAGCUGGGUUUAGAACGUCGUGAGACAGUUCGGUCCCUAUCUGCCGUGGGCGCUGGAGAACUGAGGGGGGCUGCUCCUAGUACGAGAGGACCGGAGUGGACGCAUCACUGGUGUUCGGGUUGUCAUGCCAAUGGCACUGCCCGGUAGCUAAAUGCGGAAGAGAUAAGUGCUGAAAGCAUCUAAGCACGAAACUUGCCCCGAGAUGAGUUCUCCCUGAGACUUAAAGUCUCCUGAAGGAACGUUGAAGACGACGACGUUGAUAGGCCGGGUGUGUAAGCGCAGCGAUGCGUUGAGCUAACCGGUACUAAUGAACCGUGAGGCUUAACCCUACAACGCCGAAG